rnacentral:rRNA from 1 species
UACGGAGGGUGCAAGCGUUGUCCGGAAUCACUGGGCGUAAAGGGCGCGUAGGCGGCUCGGUAAGUAGGGGGUGAAAUCCUGCGGCUUAACCGCAGGGCUGCCUUCUAAACUGUCGAGCUUGAGCACGGUAGAGGCAGAUGGAAUUCCCGGUGUAGCGGUGGAAUGCGUAGAGAUCGGGAAGAACAUCAGUGGCGAAGGCGGUCUGCUGGGCCGUUGCUGACGCUGAGGCGCGACAGCGUGGGGAGUAAACAGG